rnacentral:tRNA from 1 species
GCUCCCAUGGCGUAGUGGUCACUGCGCUCGCCUUGCACGCGGGAGACCCGGGUUCGAUUCCCCGAGAGCG